rnacentral:rRNA from 1 species
GACGAACGCUGGCGGCGUGCUUAACACAUGCAAGUCGAACGGAAAGGCCCUGCUUUUGUGGGGUGCUCGAGUGGCGAACGGGUGAGUAACACGUGAGUAACCUGCCCUUGACUUUGGGAUAACUUCAGGAAACUGGGGCUAAUACCGGAUAGGAGCUCCUGCUGCAUGGUGGGGGUUGGAAAGUUUCGGCGGUAGGGGAUGGACUCGCGGCUUAUCAGCUUGUUGGUGGGGUAGUGGCUUACCAAGGCUUUGACGGGUAGCCGGCCCGAGAGGGUGACCGGCCACAUUGGGACUGAGAUACGGCCCAGACUCCUACGGGAGGCAGCAGUGGGGAAUAUUGCACAAUGGGCGGAAGCCUGAUGCAGCAACGCCGCGUGCGGGAUGACGGCCUUCGGGUUGUAAACCGCUUUCGCCUGUGACGAAGCGUGAGUGACGGUAAUGGGUAAAGAAGCACCGGCUAACUACGUG